AUACGGAGGGUGCAAGCGUUAAUCGGAAUUACUGGGCGUAAAGAGUACGUAGGUGGUUUAUUAAGUCAGAUGUGAAAGCCCCGGGCUCAACCUGGGAACUGCAUUUGAAGCUAGUAGACUAGAGUAUGGUAGAGGGGGGUAGAAUUUCUAGUGUAGCGGUGAAAUGCGUAGAUAUUAGAAGGAAUACCAGUGGCGAAGGCGGCCCCCUGGACCAAUACUGACACUGAGGUACGAAAGCGUGGGUAGCGAACAGGAUUAGAAACCCUUGUAGUCC
rnacentral:rRNA from 1 species